GGGGCAUUGUGACAUAUCUCUGGGCCCAUCAACUGCUUCAUUUGACUCUCCUCUCCUACCCAUGCUUUGUCAAUAGGAGAGAUUGUGACAUAUCUCUGGAACCAGAACCUUAGUGAUGUGACGCUUCUCUCCUGCUGAAGCCAUGCCCACACAAGGGAAAGUGACUUAUCACUGGGCCCAGCACACAGGUCUUUUCCCACAGGGAGCAUUGUGAAACAUCACUGGGCUCAGCCACCAGGUUAUGUGACUCUUCUGCCUGUGCCCUGCUUCCAGAAAAUAUUGUGACAUUCCUCAUACAGCAUCCAGGUGAUGUGACUCUUCUGCUCAUUUUCUACUUACAGGAUGCGUAUGCCAUAUUUCUGGACCCAUCACCUAGAUGAUGGGACUCUCCUCUUCUUUCUGGGACCAGUACGCAGUGGGAAUUGUGAUGCAUCGUUUAGCUCAGCAGCUACAUGUUGUGACUCUCUUCUCAUGAGAACCCUCCCACUUGGAUAAUUGCAACAUAUAAUGUAGCCUAGUUUCUAGGAUACCUGACUCUUCUCUUUUUCCUGAGACUUACACAGAAUCGGCAACAUCUCUGGGCUUCUG
rnacentral:lncRNA from 1 species